CUUGCUUUCUCGAGCGAGUGGCGAACGGGUGAGUAACGCGUGAGGAACCUGCCUCAAAGAGGGGGACAACAGUUGGAAACGACUGCUAAUACCGCAUAAGCCCACAGCUCGGCAUCGAGCAGAGGGAAAAGGAGCAAUCCGCUUUGAGAUGGCCUCGCGUCCGAUUAGCCAGUUGGUGAGGUAACGGCCCACCAAGGCAACGAUCGGUAGCCGGACUGAGAGGUUGAACGGCCACAUUGGGACUGAGACACGGCCCAGACUCCUACGGGAGGCAGCAGUGGGGAAUAUUGCACAAUGGGGGAAACCCUGAUGCAGCGACGCCGCGUGGAGGAAGAAGGUCUUCGGAUUGUAAACUCCUGUUGUUGAGGAAGAUAAUGACGGUACUCAACAAGGAAGUGACGGCUAACUACGUGCCAGCAGCCGCGGUAAAACGUAGGUCACAAGCGUUGUCCGGAAUUACUGGGUGUAAAGGGAGCGCAGGCGGGAAGACAAGUUGGAAGUGAAAUCUAUGGGCUCAACCCAUAAACUGCUUUCAAAACUGUUUUUCUUGAGUAGUGCAGAGGUAGGCGGAAUUCCCGGUGUAGCGGUGGAAUGCGUAGAUAUCGGGAGGAACACCAGUGGCGAAG
rnacentral:rRNA from 1 species